AACGAACGCUGGUGGCGUGUUUUAUACAUGCAAGUCGAGCGAGGACAGUAGCUUGCUACUGAGCCGAGCGGCGAACGGGUGAGUAACGCGUAAGCAAUCUGCCCUACAGUAGGGAACAACCAGGCCAACGCCUGGCUAAUACCGUAUAUAGUGGAAGGUCGCCUGACCUUUUGACGAAAGAUUUAUCGCUGUAGGAUGAGCUUGCGUCCGAUUAGCUAGUAGGCGGGGUAACGGCCCACCUAGGCGACGAUCGGUAGCCGGCCUGAGAGGAUGAACGGCCACAUUGGGACUGAGAUACGGCCCAGACUCCUACGGGAGGCAGCAGUCGGGAAUAUUGCGCAAUGGAGGAAACUCUGACGCAGUGACGCCGCGUAUAGGAAGAAGGUUUUCGGAUUGUAAACUAUUGUCAUUAGGGAAGAAAAAAGACUGUACCUAAGGAGGAAGCCCCGGCUAACUAUGUG
rnacentral:rRNA from 1 species